AUUGAACGCUGGCGGCAUGCUUUACACAUGCAAGUCGAGCGGCAGCGCGGGGGCAACCCUGGCGGCGAGCGGCGAACGGGUGAGUAAUGCAUCGGAACGUAUCCUCGAGUGGGGGAUAACCCAGCGAAAGUUGGGCUAAUACCGCAUGAGCUCUGAGGAGGAAAGCGGGGGACCUGCGAGGGCCUCGCGCUGGAGGAGCGGCCGAUGUCCGAUUAGCUAGUUGGUGGGGUAAAGGCUUACCAAGGCGACGAUCGGUAGCUGGUCUGAGAGGAUGAUCAGCCACACUGGGACUGAGACACGGCCCAGACUCCUACGGGAGGCAGCAGUGGGGAAUUUUGGGCAAUGGGGGCAACCCUGAUCCAGCCAUGCCGCGUGAGUGAAGAAGGCCUUCGGGUUGUAAAGCUCUUUCGGACGGAACGAAAUGGGCGGGACUAAUACUCCUGUCUGAUGACGGUACCGUAAGAAGAAGCACCGGCUAACUACGUG
rnacentral:rRNA from 1 species